UGACUAUAUCAUGUUGAAACACCAGUUACCAUAUGAUCACUGAAUUUAAGCAAUGUUGAGCCUGGUCAGUAUCUAGAUGGGUGACUGCUUAGAAAUAUUAGGUGCUGUAAG